CAAAACCAGCUUGUUACAAAUAAUACAACCAAAAAGAUUUGAUUCAACUUUUUACUAGAGAAUACGAAAAUACUUUUUCCCCGACUCACCUAUUUUUUGAUAAAUGCUUU